AGUUGAACGAGAAAGUAUCUUCGGAUGCGAGUACAGUGGCGGACGGGUGAGUAAUACAUAGGAAUCUACCCAAUGGAGGGGGAUAGCUCGAGGAAACUCGAAUUAAUACCGCAUAAUCUCCACGGAGUAAAGAGGGCUUCGGCUCUCGCCAUCGGAUGAGCCUAUGCAAGAUUAGCUUGUUGGUAAGGUAAUGGCUUACCAAGGCUACGAUCUUUAGCUGGUUUGAGAGGACGACCAGCCACAUCGGGACUGAGACACGGCCCGGACUUCUACGGAAGGCAGCAGUAGGGAAUAUUGGACAAUGAGCGAAAGCUUGAUCCAGCCAUGCCGCGUGUGCGAUGAAGACCUUAGGGUUGUAAAGCACUUUAGGUUAUGAGAAAAGAUUUGGUAUUAAUACCACCAAAUUUUGAUGUUAAUUUCAGAAUAAGCACCGGCUAAAUCCGUGCCAGCAGCCGCGGUAAUACGGAUGGUGCAAGCGUUAAUCGGAAUUACUGGGCGUAAAGCGCGCGUAGGUGGCCUAUCAAGUUAGAUGUGAAAUCCCGGGGCUUAACCUCGGAACUGCAUCUAAAACUGAUAAGCUAGAGUACUAGAGAGGAAAGUAGAAUUCUUAGUGUAGCGGUGGAAUGCGUAGAUAUUAAGAGGAAUACCAAUGGGCGAAGGCAACUUUCUGGAUAGAUACUGACACUG
rnacentral:rRNA from 1 species